AGUUGGGCACUCUAAGUUGACUGCCGGUGACAAACCGGAGGAAGGUGGGGAUGACGUCAAAUCAUCAUGCCCCUUAUGAUUUGGGCUACACACGUGCUACAAUGGACAAUACAAAGGGCAGCAAAACCGCGAGGUCAAGCAAAUCCCAUAAAGUUGUUCUCAGUUCGGAUUGUAGUCUGCAACUCGACUACAUGAAGCUGGAAUCGCUAGUAAUCGUAGAUCAGCAUGCUACGGUGAAUACGUUCCCGGGUCUUGUACACACCGCCCGUCACACCACGAGAGUUUGUAACACCCGAAGCCGGUGGAGUAACCAUUUUGGAGCUAGCCGUCGAAGGUGGGACAAAUGAUUGGGGUGAAGUCGUAACAAGGUAGCCGUAUCGGAAGGUGCGGCUGGAUCACCUCCUUUCUAAGGA
rnacentral:rRNA from 1 species